rnacentral:lncRNA from 1 species
GGCUCUGGGGUGACGCGCGGGUUCCUUCCUGAGGGGGCACGGGACGACCCCAGCCCCACAUCGCCACCAGGCCCCACCUUCUCCGCGCCCGGCGGCUAAAAAUACUCCCCACAGAUUUGCACCAGAGGCACAAGGAGAAUUUGACACACUUGCUGCAAAGAGGUUUUCAUGCCCUGAACGUGAAACCACCAGGACUGGCUGAAGGACACUCUGUGCCCAGGGACUGGGGAGCUGAGACCUGAAAUGGAAUUUCACUAGAGAUCCUACCAACAUUAAAUACUCUGUGAAGCCUC